UACGAAGGGGGCUAGCGUUGCUCGGAAUCACUGGGCGUAAAGCGCACGUAGGCGGCUUUCUAAGUCAGGGGUGAAAUCCUGGAGCUCAACUCCAGAACUGCCUUUGAUACAGCAUAUCUUGAGUCCGAUAGAGGUGGGUGGAAUUCCUAGUGUAGAGGUGAAAUUCGUAGAUAUUAGGAAGAACACCGGUGGCGAAGGCGGCUCACUGGACUGGUAUUGACGCUGAGGUGCGAAAGCGUGGGGAGCAAACAGG
rnacentral:rRNA from 1 species